rnacentral:lncRNA from 1 species
UGAGAUGUGUUAGAGGAAGAAAAAAAAAAAUUCAAUACAUUUGUUAAAGCUCCGGAAGGCAGACUUUAUUCAAAGCUAUCACUUUGCUCUGUGCCUGGUGCUGGAGACAUUGAAAUAAAAGAUACAAGUGCUGCCCACAGGAAACUCACAGACCAGUGCGGGGAGAAGGGGGCAGGCCUGUGAGCCCAUCUACAGAACAAAAUGCCCCCCGGUGAGGCUGCUCAGUGGGGCUCCCUGAUCCACAGAAGACCUGGGGGCUCCAGGAAGGAUGAGGGGACCAAGAAGCGACCUACAUUCUAACCAGGGCAGGCAGCAGAGGUGGCAGGAAGGGGAAGGGCUCUAAGCACCCCUGCUCCUGCACAGAAAUCCACUUGCCUGAGAAGUUGUGGACUAAGGAAAACUAAGGACUUUUCCAGACGAAAACUGGCUGAAGAGACCUGAGAACUUGAUGCAAAGCAUGAUCCCAGAUUGGACCUGGAUUGUGGGGAGACGUAGUUCACAAGGGACUGUUUGGGGCGAUUGGCAACGUGUGAAUAUGGACUAUGGAUUGGAAAACAGCAUUGGAUGAACGUCAAAUUUCCUGAUUUUGCUUGCUGUUCUGUGGCUACAUAAGAGAACAUUCUUGUUCUUAAAAAAUACACACUGACGUAUUUAGGAAGUAUUCAGGAACAUGAUGUCUGCAACUCACUUUUGAAUAGUCCAGGAAAAUACAUACGUAUAUUAAAUAUGACAGGGGAUGGAGAAUGAUAACACAAAAGGGGGAAAAUAUUAACAGUUGGUGAAUCUGGAUAAAGUGUUCCUUGAACAUGAGUUCUUUGAACUAUUCUUGAAACUUUCAUGUAAAUUGGAAAUUAUAUCAAUUUAAAGCUUAAAAAGAAACAAAGGCAAGCCCAGGGUUGGAUUCUGUGGAUCGCAAACUCAGGGUGAGAAUAAACCAAACUUUGUGAGGUAGCAACAGAACCAAUACUGGAUUUGUUUAUUUUUUAAAAGUCAUCAUCUAUGGAAGGUUGACUUAAUGUAUCCUCCAAAUAUUAAUAGUUACUGACAACCACGUGUUUUUGUUUAUGCUAUCAUUUUAACAGAGUUUACGUUACAUAUUGAUUAUUGACCAGAAGCUUCCAGAAUGAGGAUCACCUGGGAGCAAUUUUCCCUGAGCG